AGUUCUCUCUCUUUGUUCAGCGAACUUUUGUGUGGUGGAAGUUGCAACAUGUCCUCUUCAGAAAGUUGCUUUGUGAUUGCAGGCGUAGUCUCCAGUCUACUUCACGAUGGGAGUGCUGAAGCACGUGGCUUCGGAUGAUUUGCGCCAUAGGCGUUUGUAGCCCACUUGUUGAACGUCUGUAUUCGAUGCAUCAAUUAUAAAUCGCAGUAAACGCGAUGAAGAGUUCAGUUGGCGAUUUCACAGAUGGUAAGAAUGAAGUUCCCAACUGCAAAAAUGUGGUGGCCUCCUAAGAGGUGAGACCCUUCAUUUUCUACAUUUCAAAUUUUAUGACUCUGAUAAUCCCAUGUGCAUGGAAGACUAACAGUGACUCCUCAGAGGAAGGUUGGAGUAUUGAAUUACAUUUAUAGUAGAACCGGUGUGCACUGCAGUGAUGAGAAACUGUUGCUAAGCUGAUCCAUGGUUAAUGGGCCUGAUUGUAAACUCUCUCCCUGAGCUGUGCGGAACACCAUACUAAAGUGCAUCUCGU